AAGUCUGACGGAGCACGCCGCGUGAGUGAUGAAGGUUUUCGGAUCGUAAAGCUCUGUUGUUAGGGAAGAACAAGUGCCGUUCAAAUAGGGCGGCACCUUGACGGUACCUAACCAGAAAGCCACGGCUAACUACGUGCCAGCAGCCGCGGUAAUACGUAGGUGGCAAGCGUUGUCCGGAAUUAUUGGGCGUAAAGGGCUCGCAGGCGGUUUCUUAAGUCUGAUGUGAAAGCCCCCGGCUCAACCGGGGAGGGUCAUUGGAAACUGGGGAACUUGAGUGCAGAAGAGGAGAGUGGAAUUCCACGUGUAGCGGUGAAAUGCGUAGAGAUGUGGAGGAACACCAGUGGCGAAGGCGACUCUCUGGUCUGUAACUGACGCUGAGGAGCGAAAGCGUGGGGAGCGAACAGGAUUAGAUACCCUGGUAGUCCACGCCGUAAACGAUGAGUGCUAAGUGUUAGGGGGUUUCCGCCCCUUAGUGCUGCAGCUAACGCUUUUUUUUUUUCCCCCCCCCCAGUACGGUCGCAAGACUGAAACUAAAAGAGGGGGGGGGGGG
rnacentral:rRNA from 3 species